UCUCAAUUUCUGUGUGGUUGCUGAGAAAAUAAGGGAACUGAUAAAUGAGUUUUGAAAAAUCUAUUGAAUCUUUGUUUCUCAGACCAUGGAAAAUUCUGUCUCAAGUCCUAUUGUAGGGUUGAAAAGUAAAGAGUGUGGAAAUUGGAUUGCCCAUCGCCUCAUUGGUGUUUUAGGGUUUGUUUUAUGGGGCUCAUAUUAAUUAGGCACGGGUGAAUGAUGAUAGGUGAUGUAUUUAACAAGAAGUCAAUAACCUGUUGCUUUACAUAACAUUCCCAUCCAUUCUGUUUUUCCUGUCACUUAAUGUGAUUGAAUACAGCCUAUUUUUUCAUGUGAUGAUAUCGUUUUCGGUUCUGUUGGAUUAAAUUACUUGUGCCUUUUGAUAAUUUGGUGCGAUGUUCCAUUUUCUCGGAGCCAUUUCUUAUUACUUGUUAUAUGGUGUUUCAGUUGUGUUAUCAGCCUGGUUGUUUAUUUAUUUAUUUUUAUAUUAGGGUUGAAGCCUUCAAGGUCUACCUUUUCUUUUUCUUUGAUUUCAGGGUACUCUUUGUAUUGGGUCCUUUUUUGGUCUUCUAUUCUUUGUCCCUCUUUCAAUAAAAUCUCUUAUUGAUCAUUAAUUGGAUUCUUGGAAAUUAACACAUUCAUCUUGUGAAGUAAGCAUGGGAAAUAAAAGAAUGAGGAGCAUUGCCAUAACUGAUAUCAUAGGAUCUGUUUAGGAUUUCAUGAAAUGCCACCAUUUCAAAUUUUUUAUUGUCAUCUGUCACAAUGGCCAUGAUCUUGUGAUAGUCCUACUUAAGUGACAUGGAAAACUGAUUGGCAUUAAUUUUGUGUAAAUGUAUUUACAUUCUCCAUUCUUUUUUUUUUGGGGGGUGGGGGGUGGGGGAGAGAUUUUCUAUUUUGGUUUGGACAAUUUUUUGAUAGGCUUUGGAAAAAGAAAAGGAAUGAGGAGCAUUGCUAUAACUCAUGUCAUAGGAUUUGUUUAGGAUUUCAUGAAAUGCUACCAUUUCAAUUUUUUUAUUGUCAUUUGUCACGAUGUCCAUGGUUUUAUGUAAUAGUCCUAUUUAAGUGACAUGAAAAACUUAUUAGCACUAAUUUUUGUGUAAAUGUAUUUUGCAUUCUCCAUUUUUUUUUUUUUGGAUUUUAUUUACUUUUUACUUCGGAUUUGUCAUUUUUUAUGGGCAAGCAAAAAAUACUAUUAACUGCAUCUAGCAAAAAAGUUGCCCAAAGUAUACAGUGUACACAUAAGGUGCCAAACGACAUUGAACUAGAAGAGAGAGACAAAAAGACUACCCUCUCCCUUUACUUGGUACCUAACCAAGCAACCAAAUUUACAAUAGACAUUCAUGUCUCAUCUAUGAACUUACUAGCAUAAACCAAAA